UACGUACAACGUAAAAAAACUCUUGAUUGAACUGCGUCUGCGCAGUAAACUUUGUAAACCAAAAGUUUUGCGACCGCAAGACAUUUGCGGAGCUGUGUGCACGGAAUACACCACGAGGAAUUGGAAUAGUUUGGAUAUUUGCGUCAUUUUUGGACUGUUUUUAUCGUAAAAAGGAGCUGAUGUGCGAUGAGUUCCGAUGUGACCCAAUCACCGAAGCGUACGCUUCGUUCUGCCACGAAUAGCCCCCUCAGGCGGAAGCCAGCAGUACAGGCCGUUGAGAAGUGCAAAGAGGGCAAAUCUCCUUUGAGAAAUGGUUCGCCCAUGAAAAAUUCCUCUGCUAUGAAGAAUCUCUGU